rnacentral:rRNA from 1 species
UAAUGGGCGCAAGCCUGAACGAGCAACGCCGCGUGGUGGAUGACGGCUUCGGGUUGUAAACACCUUUUCGGGGGGAUGAUAAUCGACCGUACCCCCGGAAUCAGCCCCGGCUAACUCUGUGCCAGCAGCCGCGGUAAGACAGAGGGGGCAAGCGUUGUCCGGAGUUACUGGGCGUAAAGCGUCCGCAGGCGGUACGGUAAGUGGUGUGUGAAAGCGCGCAGCUCAACUGCGCGAGGCCAUGCCAGACUGCCGCACUCGAGUCCGGUAGAGGUUCGUCGAAUUGCCGGUGUAGUGGUGAAAUGCGUAGAGAUCGGCAGGAAGACCAAGGGUGAAGACAGCGAACUGGGCCGGUACUGACGCUGAAGGACGAAAGCGUGGGGAGCGAACCGGAUUAGAUACCCGGGUAGUCCACGCGGUAAACGAUGGCGACUCGGCAUAUGGGCGCGCUCCGCGCCGGUGUGCCCCAGCAAACGCGGUAAGUCGCCCGCCUGGGAAGUACGAGCGCAAGCUUA